AGCAAAGUUCUCAUAUAGAUGUGGUUCGUUUUCCAUGUGUGGUUUAUAUCAAUGAAGUCCGAGUUAUACCCCCGGGAGUACGAGCCCAUAGUGGCUUACCUGACAACAGAGCAUAUGGGGAAACAUCUCCUCACACAUUUCAACUAGACUUAUUUUUCAAUAACGUAAGCAAACCAAGUGCUCCAGUUGGAGUGCUCAGAAUACUCCGAGAGGAAAUUAUAACGAAAGCCGAGGGGGCCAGAGCAACUUCAACAGGGGCCCUCUUCCGCCAUUACGGCCACUUAGCUCCACAGGUUACCGCCCUAGUCCCCGGGAUCGAGCUUCUCGGGGCCGUGGGGGGCUCGGACCGUCCUGGGCCAGUACAAAUAGCGGCAGUGGAGGCUCACGAGGAAAGUUUGUUAGUGGAGGCAGUGGUAGAGGCCGUCAUGUACGGUCCUUUACUCGAUAGACGUGCUCUUGGGAACACCCCAAGUAAAUGGACAUUUCAUGAGGACAAAAAACAGACAGACCUUGAAGGACCAAUUUAGACUUAGCAGUUAUAUCUGGAUUCAUCUGAGAGAAUAUUUUUAUCUGAAGAAAGCAGAUUUUGUUUGAUACUUAAUGAGAUUUCAAUAAAAAUCCAAACUUUGUAU
rnacentral:lncRNA from 1 species